rnacentral:rRNA from 1 species
GUGCAGCAGGCGAGAAAACUCCGCAAUGCUCGAAAGAGUGACGGGGGAUUCCAAGUGCCUACGCUUAGCGUAGGCUGUUCAGAUGCCUAAAAAGCAUCUGGAGUAAGGGCUGGGUAAGACGGGUGCCAUCUGCAGUGGUAAUGAAAAACUUGCUACUGCAAGGCAUAAGCCGCCGCGGUAAUACCCGCAGCCCGAGUGGUAGUCGCUUUUAUUGGGCCUAAAGCGUCCGUAGCCGGUCUGGUAAAUGCCUGGGGUAAAUCGUGGGGCCUAACCUCACGAACUCCGGGUAGACUGCCAGACUUGGGACCGGUUGAGGGAGAGGGUACUCCGAGGGGUAGGGUGAAAUCCGUGUAAUCCGUUGGAGGACCACCGGGUGGCGAAAGCGACUCUCCUAGGACGGUCGACGGUGAGGGACGAAAGCCAGGGAGCAAACCGGAUUA